UUUUGAUUUUGGGGGUAUUCUGUAAUCUCUCUUCAGUCUGUCAAUGUUUGUUUUGAUGUGUGGACUUCAGAAUGAGACAACAGGAAUGCUGUAUGUACAGAAGCAAGCCUGCAAAAAAUGAAAUAGGAAAUUGCAUUUCCUUCACCACAAGAUUUAAGAAGUUGCUUGCCAGAGGUGCUGAUGGAUUAUUCCCUAAUGGUGAAAAGAAGUUAUAUCAGCUG